UGCCGACAUAUCCUUAAAAGACUGGAUAGAU
rnacentral:piRNA from 2 species